GAGACACUAGUAAAUUAAACAUUACAUCGCCUUGUCGAGACGAAGUUGUAGGUUAAAAUCCUACGUGUCU
rnacentral:tRNA from 1 species